AACGAGACCCUGGAGCUUGCUCCAGGUGACAGUGGCAGACGGGUGAGUAACGCGUGGCAACCUACCCUUCGGUGGGGGACAACAGUUGGAAACGACUGCUAAUACCCCAUACGUCCUCCGGGAGAAAGAUUCAUCGCCGAUGGAUGGGGCCGCGUUAGAUUAACUUGAAUGGNGGGGUAAUGGCCUACCAUGGCGACGAUCUAUAGCGGGUCUGAGAGGAUGAUCCGCCACACUGGGACUGAGACACGGCCCAGACUCCUACGGGAGGCAGCAGUAGGGAAUAUUGGACAAUGGGCGAAAGCCUGAUCCAGCCAUGCCGCGUGAAUGAUGAAGGCCUUAGGGUUGUAAAAUUCUUUCGCUAGGGAAGAUAAUGACUGUACCUAGUAAAGAAGCCCCGGCUAACUCCGUGCCAGCAGCCGCGGUAAUACGGAGGGGGCAAGCGUUGUUCGGAAUUACUGGGCGUAAAGCGUGCGUAGGCGGAUCAGAAAGUAUGGGGUGAAAUCCCAGGGCUCAACCCUGGAACUGCCUCAUAAACUUCUGGUCUUGAGUUCUGGAGAGGUAAGUGGAAUUCCUAGUGUAGAGGUGAAAUUCGUAGAUAUUAGGAGGAACACCAGAGGCGAAGGCGGCUUACUGGACAGAUACUGACGCUGAGGCACGAAAGUGUGGGGAGCAAACAGGAUUAGAUACCCUGGUAGUCCACACCGUNNCGAUGAGAGC
rnacentral:rRNA from 1 species